GGCACUUGACUUUCUGGAUAAAAGGUGUGGAGUUCGUCAAGUACUAAACUUUACACCCCCAGCAGAAAAUGUACCCUGGCAGCAAAUGGAUGAAAAGGCUGGAGGAGAAAGUCAUCGCUCCGUUAUUGGCCCUUGGACUCCCCUGGCAUCGCGUUUUCAGCAAUGAAGGUAUAUUCUAGGCCUAUGUCCUAAUGUCCAGUUUUUUAACAGUUUUGAAAAUAGUGCCUUUAG